GCCAGGCGUGGUGGCGCGUGCCUGUAGUCCCAACUACUUGGGAGGCUGAGGGUGGAGGAUCCCUUGAGCCCAGGAGUUCUGGGCCAUAGUGCGCUAUGCAGAUCUGGUAUCCGCACUAAGUUCAGCAUCAAUAUGGUGACCUCCCAGGAGUGGGGAGCCACCAGAUUGCCUAAGGAGGGGUGAAUCGGCCCAGGUCAGAAAUGGAGCAGGUCAAAAUAAUAUUUUUAGGGACCAGGUGGUAGUGCACUUGUAGGGCAUACAUGGUACAGUGUGCAAGAAUCUAGGUUCAAGCUCCU
rnacentral:SRP_RNA from 1 species